rnacentral:tRNA from 1 species
CUCUGAGUAGCUAUUUUACCCAGCGCCAGCCUUUUAAGCUGGAGAAGGGGUCAGUGCCCCCUCAGAGA